ACCACAAUUCGUUUCAUCCGCCGCUCCACCUUUCUCUACAAACCCUAGAUCCUCCACCGCUCCUCCACCUUUCAUCCAUGGAACCGGUCGUCGCCAUCACCGUCUUCUCCCCUUCUCCACUCCAACAGUCGCUUCAUGAUCUAGGGUUUCACUGAGAAACCAGUCGUUUCAUGAUCUAGGGUUUUUCUGUAGAUCUGAUGCUAUCUCAACAGAUUCGACACCAGAUCCGACACCAGAUCCGACACCAAAUCCGACACCAGAUCGAUUUCUAUGGCUUCUUUCCCGGUGGCUUCAAGAUCCGACACUAUCUCAGUAGAUCCAACACCAGAUCUACUGGUUUGACUGUAGGAUCUUCCGUUUGGUUGUGGGUUCGUCAACGAUGGUGGUUGUGGGUGGAAGAUCUGGCCAGAUCUAUGGCUCUGUUCUUUAAAUUUCUUGGAGGAUCUUAAGCUCAGGUGCAACGGGAAAUGUGAAUAAGGUUUCAUGGGUGAUUUUAAGUUCAGAAGGGAGAAGGAACUGAGACUGAAGAUGUUCUUGAUGAUGGAAUCGUGAAAAACAUACAAAUCUUAUUGCUUCUUCAGGUUGCGGUUUCCUAUGAAAGUAUCGGACCUAAUGAAGAAUGGUGGUCAAACCAUGUUGAUGAGAUAAUUGAGAUGUUGAAGUUCAUAGUGAAACAUGGUAGAAGUGAAAUGGGAGUACCAUAAUUUGGCUGGACAACACAAAAAGUCUUCCACUUAAUGAAUUUGUUGGUAAAUGGAUCGACUGUAUCAAUUAGUCGACGAAAAUGUAACUGCAGGUGGAGAUAUGCAGUCGGUGUUAUGAGCACCCGAACCCGUUGGUGAUUCAAGGUGCAGGAGCAGGCAAUUAUACUACAGCGGCUGGUGUUCUUGCUGACAUCAUUGAUCUUCAGGAUCAGUUUCCAUUUACAAACACAGGGAAAUGAUUUGAUUUUUAGUCGAUCAACAGUCUCUUUGGAUUUGUUCUAUGUGGUAAUUUUUUUAAUAAAUUCUAAUAUGUACUAUAUGCAGCCCCUUUUCCCUGGUGAAAGUGGUGUAGAUCAACUGGCGGAGAUAAUUAAGAUUUUGGGAACACCAACACGUGAGGAAAUUAAAUGCAUGAUUCCACAUUAUACACACUUUAAGUUCCCACAGAUCAAGGCUCAUCCAUGGCACAAGGUCUCGAACUGGUUUAUAAACGCAAGAGUUCGUUUAUGGAAGCCAAUGGUGGAAGAAAUGUACAAAGAGGAAGCUGGAGAUGCAGAAACAGAAUCAAAUUCUUCAUCAGAAAUCGCACCCAAAACCACGAAAGGCGAUCGAAAGACUUCUGUUGACCAAGAAGAUCUGAACCAAAGCACUGCAGCCUCUGGAUUCGACUCGAAAGACUUCUGUUGAUUUAUGUUUUAAAUGAAUCACCUGUUAGCUGAUUAUGGUCGCUCUCGCACCUGAUCCGUCGCGUUUAUUGUUGUUUCGAAUAAGGCGGCCGUAAAGAAGAUGACUGGACCUAUCCCAGCUGUGGGAAUGUCAAUUUUUCAUUUAGGACAACUUGCAAUAUGCGUAACUGUACACAACCCAAACCAGCUGAUCAGUUUGAAUGAGGAUGGCCUGAAUCUACGCAAGGGUUGUGUUCAGCAGUUGCUGCUUGCCUUGCAGCUGUAAAGCAAGCUAAACACUGUUGUCUGAAAGGGAGCAUGCUUGCUUCAGUCUCUAUAAAUACGACAUCGAGCUCUACACUCUACAAACACUCAACUACACUCAACUGAGACAAAUUAAACUUUCAAAUUAAUAUCAAUACUCUUUGCAUCUGGAUCUUGCGUUGUUUCUCGGCUCUUUACAUCAGGGUUUUACAUUUUUUGUCGGCUCUUUACAUCUACCUCUUGCAUCGUUGUAAGUUCUUUCACAUUUCUUGGUUAUUUUUGUAACUUUUAACUGUUGUUUUUGCAUCUGUAUUGUUCAA